GGACGCGGUCGGCCUUCCGGCUGUUCUCGGACGAGACAGCGCCGGGACAGGACAGCGGUCGGCGCCGUGGGACAGCUCGGACGGGUGCGAAGGGAUCGGACGGGCGUCCGAAACUGCACUGGGUGUCCAGGUGUCCUGCGAACAGAGAGCAAAGGGUUAAUGCUCUCCGUCAGCUGGCUCGAGUGUCGAAGCUUUACCUCUGAUUUCUCUGAGGUCUGUCAGCCUUCUGCAUCGAGCCAGCGGACGGAGCGCCUUUUAUAGCGCGGGUAGCAGCCCUGGGAGGGUCGCGCAAAACCCACCCACCCAUUUGAUUUACAUUGAGAACUUUCUAGAUGCAUCUAGAAAGUUCUGUGAAUCUGCAGUUGAAUUCUAAAAUGCCUUUAUAAAUUCCCUUGAAGUGAAUUGGAAUCCCAUGAAUUGUACAAGCUAAUUCCAAUUGAAUUUAUAAUAAUUAUUUGUAAAUUUAAAGCUACUUUAAAUUUAAAAUAAACGCAAUAUUUAUUUAAAAGAAUUCAACUCAAAACAAUUGCCAGAAAUAAAAAAAAAGAAUAAUUAAAAAGAAAGCCCUUAAAAAAUGAAUUUAAUUGUAAGCCGAAAAUUAAUUGAUUAAUAAUAAUAAAAAAAAACAAUGAAGUUCUCCGAUGACACAGCCACAGUCAAAACAAACAAAUUAAGAGAGGAAUAAAAUAAUUAUUCCACACCAAAUCCCCCUCUUUUGACUGGCGGCUGUGGUCAGCUGUGACUGGAUGAUCUCCAGGACGAUUGCCAGGACGACGUACUGCACGUAGACUGUCCAGAUCCUGAGCUCAUGGCGCUGUCCUCAAGGAAAAACGUCGUGGGCACCAUAAUCACGCGUGAAUCCGGCCUUGUUGUUGUUGUUUUUCGCAUGCGGCGAGGGCGAGGUCUUGGUUCUUUGUGUGCUGAUUUUUCCUUCUCCCUCUCCUGGCUUGAUGGCGAACUUGGUUGUGGCGCCACUCUCAUCUCUCUCCUGCUGAUUUUUCUUCCCCCUCUUGUGAAAAGUUCAUUGACUUUUUGGCCGCCACAGAUAACAGCUGGCCCACGUUGUUUAUUUGCCGCACUCGUUGUGGUUUUUUGUGUGGGAGUUUUAAUGGCAAAUUCGGCCUUAUCUGUCGGUUGUCGGCGUUGUCGGCGGUGCCGUCGGCAAGUAAAUGCAUGCUGGGCGAUGUGGUCGGCAGGUGGGAAAUUUUGUCUUCGUAAACCUGAUUGGACACUGUGCGACACGGCAAGCUCGCUUUAGAAGCCCUUUGUUGUCGUCGCUUGAACCGUCUUUUCCGUCGACGUUUCUCUUUACGAGUCGCAGAAGGGACGUGGUCGUUGCUGGCGGAUGGUCGGUGGGUAUGGACAAUAUCCUUUUGGUUUGACGGAGGUGAGAAUGGACAUGGAGCGUGAGAGGUGGAGUUGCUGGUUAGAAGGUGCUUUGGAUGAACUUGAUUCUGUCUGUUCAUGGAAAUUUGACGGAAAUGGUGGAAGCACUGCACCAGGUGGAAUGGCUGGCAGCCAUUGUUGGGAGGAAAACGGACUGGAGAGUGGAGGAACUGCCGAUGAGUAUUGCGGACUCGAAGCAGCGGGAAAUGGCCCUGGCCAGCGUUGGUUCAUUUGAGGGUGGCUUCUGAAGGCAGCAAGUGGAGGAAAAUUUUGUUGUUGAGGGAAACAGUGUUGUUUCUUCAACGAGAAUGGCGAUUUUGCGUGCCUCAAGAAUUGAUUUUGGCUGCCGGAUGUACACCUGCCAAUAAAAGUCGACUCGUAGGCCCCGGAUGAAAAUGCGCAGGAACUCCGCUUCUCUAAUGUCAAAGUUUUGUUUUAAACUUAAUCCAACAAUGGGUUGUUCAUGGUGCCACAAUUCGUCUGCCAGCCCUCUCAAUCGUAGGGUGCUUACUGGCGGCUCAAAUUCGUCUUGAAAAACUUUCUGGAGUGAGGAGAAGUUGCUGAUGGUGGCCUCGUCAAGAUGCUUAACAAACUCCCUUGCUCGUCCAGAAGUGCGGAAAAGUAACAACCACCACACAUCUUUUGGCUGCAGUUGUUGGUCUCUCUGUGAGUACAUCUGGUUUUGGCGCCUCGUCAUGAUUGAUGUGGGACACUGGGUGUUCAGGCAGCAGUUGGCCAACCUGUGAUGCGCCGUCCAAGGGGAGGAGGUGCUCCUGAGGGUGCAGGACAUCCACCUGAGUGUACUGCUGGUAUUGGCAAGAAAGAAGUGUUUGUUGUUGUUGAAGUGGGAGGGAAAUUUGUGCAAUUGGGUUGUUGUCGUCCGACUUGUACAGCUGUAGAGUCUUUCCAGGGUCACACCCUCCAGGGUCACACCCCGUUGUUGUCUGCUCAGCAGCCAGGGGUCCAAAAUGAAUUUGAUUUAAAAAUAAAGGAGACAGUUGUUCUUUGUCUGCCAUUGUAUUUUAACAAAAUAAAGUUGUAAAAAUUGUGUAAA